rnacentral:rRNA from 1 species
AUGAUCGCUGCCCCCGUCUCUGGCGACAUCCCAACCGGAGCGCCGCCGCCGCCAGCUCCGGCGGCGGAGGACUCUCCGCCGUACGGCUCCGUGGUCCUAGGAGGCACCUUCGACCGCCUCCACGACGGCCACCGACGCCUCCUCAAGGCGUCGGCAGAUUUGGCGAGGGAUCGGAUCGUGGUGGGCGUCUGCACGGGCCCCAUGCUUGCCAAGAAGGAGUACGCUGAGCUUAUCGAACCCGUGGAGAAGCGCAUCCAGGCCGUGGAGGAUUACAUCAAGUCUAUUAAACCAGAACUGAUAGUACAAGUGGAGCCUAUUGAGGAUCCAUAUGGCCCAUCCAUUAUUGAUGAUAAGUUGCAUGCAAUUAUUGUCAGUAAGGAGACACUGAACGGUGGACUCUCUGUAAAUCAGAAAAGAGAAGGGAAAGAACUGCCGUUGUUGAAGGUUGAGGUUGUUGAUCUUUUAUCUGGAGACACCGAGGGAGAAAAAUUGAGUUCAUCUGCUUUAAGGAAGCUUGAGGCUGUGCAAGCUGAACAGCAGAAAGCAACAAUAGCUAAUCAGAAAGGUGUUUAG